rnacentral:rRNA from 1 species
CCUACGGGAGGCAGCAGUGAGGAAUAUUGGUCAAUGGGAGAGAUCCUGAACCAGCCAAGCCGCGUGAGGGAAGACGGCCCUAUGGGUUGUAAACCUCUUUUGUCGGAGAACAAAACCCGGGACGUGUCCCGGACUGCGUGUAUCCGAAGAAAAAGCAUCGGCUAACUCCGUGCCAGCAGCCGCGGUAAUACGGAGGAUGCGAGCGUUAUCCGGAUUUAUUGGGUUUAAAGGGUGCGUAGGCGGUCCGUUAAGUCAGCGGGAAAAUUGCGGGGCUCAACCCCGUCGAGCCGUUGAAACUGGCAGACUUGAGUUGGCGAGAAGUACGCGGAAUGCGCGGUGUAGCGGUGAAAUGCAUAGAUAUCGCGCAGAACACCGAUUGCGAAGGCAGCGUACCGGCGCCAGACUGACGCUGAGGCACGAAAGCGUGGGGAUCGAACAGGAGUAGAUACCCCAGUAGUC